rnacentral:rRNA from 1 species
UACAGGGGGUGCAACCGUUGCUCGGAAUUAUUGGGCGUAAAGCGCACGUAGGCGGUCUGUUAUGUCGGAUGUGAAGGCCCUUGGCUUAACUAAGGAAGUGCAUCCGAAACUGGCAGGCUAGAGUACUAAAGAGGGUCGCGGAAUUCCCGGUGUAGAGGUGAAAUUCGUAGAUAUCGGGAGGAACACCGGUGGCGAAGGCGGCGACCUGGGUAGAUACUGACGCUGAGGUGCGAAAGCGUGGGGAGCAAACAGG